UGCUUUUGAUGGGCGUCGACCGGCGCACGGGUGAGUAACGCGUAUCCAACCUGCCCACCACUUGGGGAUAACCUUGCGAAAGUAAGACUAAUACCCAAUGACGUCUCUAGAAGACAUCUGAAAGAGAUUAAAGAUUUAUCGGUGAUGGAUGGGGAUGCGUCUGAUUAGCUUGUUGGCGGGGUAACGGCCCACCAAGGCGACGAUCAGUAGGGGUUCUGAGAGGAAGGUCCCCCACAUUGGAACUGAGACACGGUCCAAACUCCUACGGGAGGCAGCAGUGAGGAAUAUUGGUCAAUGGACGAGAGUCUGAACCAGCCAAGUAGCGUGCAGGAUGACGGCCCUAUGGGUUGUAAACUGCUUUUAUAAGGGAAUAAAGUGAGUCUCGUGAGACUUUUUGCAUGUACCUUAUGAAUAAGGACCGGCUAAUUCCGUGCCAGCAGCCGCGGUAAUACGGAAGGUCCGGGCGUUAUCCGGAUUUAUUGGGUUUAAAGGGAGCGUAGGCCGGAGAUUAAGCGUGUUGUGAAAUGUAGACGCUCAACGUCUGCACUGCAGCGCGAACUGGUUUCCUUGAGUACGCACAAAGUGGGCGGAAUUCGUGGUGUAGCGGUGAAAUGCUUAGAUAUCACGAAGAACUCCGAUUGCGAAGGCAGCUCACUGGAGCGCAACUGACGCUGAAGCUCGAAAGUGCGGGUAUCGAACAGGAUUAGAUACCCUGGUAGUCCGCACGGUAAACGAUGGAUGCCCGCUGUUGGUCUGAAUAGGUCAGC
rnacentral:rRNA from 1 species